UACGGGGGGGGUAAGCGUUGUUCGGAAUUACUGGGCGUAAAGGGCUCGUAGGCGGUCAACUAAGUCGGACGUGAAAUCCCUCAGCUUAACUGGGGAACUGCGUCCGAUACUGGAUGGCUUGGAUUUGGGAGAGGGAUGCGGAAUUCCAGGUGUAGCGGUGAAAUGCGUAGAUAUCUGGAGGAACACCGGUGGCGAAGGCGGCAUCCUGGACCAAUAUUGACGCUGAGGAGCGAAAGCUAGGGGAGCAAACGGG
rnacentral:rRNA from 1 species